AGUCGAGGGGUAACAGAGAAAGCUUGCUUUUUUGCUGACGACCGGCGCACGGGUGCGUAACGCGUAUGCAAUCUACCUUUUGCUGAGGGAUAGCCCAGAGAAAUUUGGAUUAAUACCUCAUAGUAUGGUGACUUGGCAUCAAGAUAUCAUUAAAGGUUACGGCAAAAGAUGAGCAUGCGUUCUAUUAGUUAGUUGGUGUGGUAACGGCACACCAAGGCAGCGAUAGAUAGGGGUCCUGAGAGGGAGAUCCCCCACACUGGUACUGAGACACGGACCAGACUCCUACGGGAGGCAGCAGUGAGGAAUAUUGGACAAUGGAGGCAACUCUGAUCCAGCCAUGCCGCGUGCAGGAAGACUGCCCUAUGGGUUGUAAACUGCUUUUAUACAGGAAGAAACACCUCUACGUGUAGAGGCUUGACGGUACUGUAAGAAUAAGGAUCGGCUAACUCCGUGCCAGCAGCCGCGGUAAUACGGAGGAUCCAAGCGUUAUCCGGAAUCAUUGGGUUUAAAGGGUCCGUAGGUGGAUAAUUAAGUCAGAGGUGAAAUCCUGCAGCUUAACUGUAGAAUUGCCUUUGAUACUGGUUGUCUUGAGUUAUUAUGAAGUAGUUAGAAUAUGUAGUGUAGCGGUGAAAUGCAUAGAUAUUACAUAGAAUACCAAUUGCGAAGGCAGAUUACUAAUAAUAUACUGACACUGAUGGACGAAAGCGUGGGGAGCGAACAG
rnacentral:rRNA from 1 species